UACGUAGGGACCAAGCGUUGUUCGGAUUUACUGGGCGUAAAGGGCGCGUAGGCGGCGCGGUAAGUCACUUGUGAAAUCUCUGAGCUUAACUCAGAACGGCCAAGUGAUACUGCAGUGCUAGAGUGUGGAAGGGGCAAUCGGAAUUCUUGGUGUAGCGGUGAAAUGCGUAGAUAUCAUGAGGAACACCAGAGGCGAAGGCGGCUCCCUGGACAGUUACUGACGCUCAGGCACGAAAGCGUGGGGAGCAAAAGGG
rnacentral:rRNA from 1 species